rnacentral:tRNA from 2 species
UGCCCCGUACUGGAAUCGAACCAGUGAUCUUCGCAUUACGAGUGCGACGCCUUACCACUUGGCCAACGGGGC